rnacentral:rRNA from 1 species
GGUCAGGACGAACGCUGGCGGCGCGCCUAACACAUGCAAGUCGAACGGAGAUAAUGGAGGAGCUUGCUCCACUGUUAUCUUAGUGGCGGACGGGUGAGUAACACGUGAGCAACCUGCCUUUCAGAGGGGGAUAACGUUUGGAAACGAACGCUAAUACCACAUAACAUCAUAUGGUGGCAUCACCAAAUGAUCAAAGGAGCAAUCCGCUGAGAGAUGGGCUCGCGUCCGAUUAGAUAGUUGGUGAGGUAACGGCCCACCAAGUCGACGAUCGGUAGCCGGACUGAGAGGUUGAACGGCCACAUUGGGACUGAGACACGGCCCAGACUCCUACGGGAGGCAGCAGUGGGGAAUAUUGCACAAUGGGGGAAACCCUGAUGCAGCGACGCCGCGUGAGGGAAGAAGGUUUUCGGAUUGUAAACCUCUGUCUUUGGUGACGAUAAUGACGGUAGCCAAAGAGGAAGCUACGGCUAACUACGUGCCAGCAGCCGC